UGUUUCUUGGUGUCCGGAAAUUCCAAAAGACUGGCACUAUGACUGUUAAUGAAGAUGAUGCUGAAGUGGAUGUUGUCUACUCAGAGGUUAGACUGAAGCAGGAUGGAAGAGAAACAAGAGAAACACCACCUAUUUCAAAUCAAGAUGAAAGUUAACGUUGACUUUUGGUCAAGUAGCUAAUAAAACUAUGCCAGUUUAGCAGUUCCAGCUGUGCAGUUAAUGUAAAGUGAAGAGCUCUCUGCACUGCACAGCAUAUGCUUUGUUGCUCGGCUUGUGUUUUGGAUGACUGAGAACCAACAGAGACAUCAAGCAACAAUACAAAAACAUGAAGGGCACAAACUCCCCUGCAGGCAGCUCUUCUAAGCAGUAUUUUAAUGAAAAGUGUGAUUGAUAUGAAUAUCUUGUGUAAGGUGACAUAAAUCCAUCAAUAAUUUAUGUUAUAUGCUUGACAUGUAUGAAAAAGUCAGUAAGUGGACUUUGUGAGACACGUAUAACUGUGUGCGUUUGGUCGGCAACCUGGUGAUGCAAUUAAAAUUUUGUUGUAUUUUCAAAUGCAAUGAUAAUAAAUGCUUUGAAGCUUGUUGACCAACAUUUAGAUUUCCAGUAAUAUUUGUACAAUAGUACAAUAAAAUCUGUGCUCUCCUCAUGUUUUACAUAAAUCUGUCUCAAAGUGUUACAUUUAUUCUCUGUAUGUAUCUCAGCCAUACAAACCAUUACGUUUAAGCCAAGCAUAAUGUAGAAAGGGACAACGCUGUAAUAACCUUGCAUUCCUUUACGUGUAUUAGUUGGUGAUUAGUGAUAAUUCUUGUGAUGAUCUAGUAAAAGCUGU
ensembl:lncRNA